UAUAAUGGGUCAGCGACUUAUAUUCUGUAGCAAGGUUAACCGUAUAGGGGAGCCGCAGGGAAACCGAGUCUUAACUGGGCGUUAAGUUGCAGGGUAUAGACCCGAAACCCGGUGAUCUAGCCAUGGGCAGGUUGAAGGUUGGGUAACACUAACUGGAGGACCGAACCGACUAAUGUUGAAAAAUUAGCGGAUGACUUGUGGCUGGGGGUGAAAGGCCAAUCAAACCGGGAGAUAGCUGGUUCUCCCCGAAAGCUAUUUAGGUAGCGCCUCGUGAAUUCAUCUUCGGGGGUAGAGCACUGUUUCGGCUAGGGGGUCAUCCCGACUUACCAACCCGAUGCAAACUACGAAUACCGAAGAAUGUUAUCACGGGAGACACACGGCGGGUGCUAACGUCCGUCGUGAAGAGGGAAACAACCCAGACCGCCAGCUAAGGUCCCAAAGUCACAGUUAAGUGGGAAACGAUGUGGGAAGGCACAGACAGCCAGGAUGUUGGCUUAGAAGCAGCCAUCAUUUAAAGAAAGCGUAAUAGCUCACUGGUCGAGUCGGCCUGCGCGGAAGAUGUAACGGGGCUAAACUGUGCACCGAAGCUGCGGCAGCGACACUAUGUGUUGUUGGGUAGGGGAGCGUUCUGUAAGCCUGCGAAGGUGGCCUGUGAGGGUUGCUGGAGGUAUCAGAAGUGCGAAUGCUGACAUAAGUAACGAUAAUGCGGGUGAAAAGCCCGCACGCCGGAAGACCAAGGGUUCCUGUCCAACGUUAAUCGGGGCAGGGUGAGUCGACCCCUAAGGCGAGGCCGAAAGGCGUAGUCGAUGGGAAACAGGUUAAUAUUCCUGUACUUGGUGUUACUGCGAAGGGGGGACGGAGAAGGCUAUGUUAGCCGGGCGACGGUUGUCCCGGUUUAAGCAUGUAGGCGGAGGUUCCAGGUAAAUCCGGUACCUUUUUAACGCUGAGGUGUGAUGACGAGGCACUACGGUGCUGAAGUAACAAAUGCCCUGCUUCCAGGAAAAGCCUCUAAGCAUCAGGUAACAUU
rnacentral:rRNA from 1 species